UACGUAGGGUGCGAGCGUUAAUCGGAAUUACUGGGCGUAAAGCGUGCGCAGGCGGUUCUGAAAGUCAGCUGUGAAAGCCCAGGGCUCAACCCUGGAAGUGCACUCGAAACUCCCGAGCUGGAGUCCCGGAGAGGAAGGCGGAAUUCUCGGUGUAGAGGUGAAAUUCGUAGAUAUCGAGAGGAACACCUGUGGCGAAGGCGGCCUUCUGGACGGUGACUGACGCUGAGACGCGAAAGCGUGGGGAGCAAACAGG
rnacentral:rRNA from 1 species